CAUGAAAGGUCGUGUGAAAGGAAACUUUUAAACAGUAAUUUGACGAUUGAUUUUAAAGGGAUAAUGAAUGUCAUUGAGCGAUUUACAGAUCAACUAUUGAUGAACUACUGAGAAACAUCUGGCAUAUUGCUAUGACCUUAAACAAAAAAAAAAAGGAAUUCUCAAGGCACAUACCACAUGUUAGAAGAGUUUGUUGAAUGGCUGAAGGAAGAAAGAAUUUCCAGCCAGAAAAAUAAAAUUCUUUAUGAAUUUGUGAAUGGAAAUGAAACCCAAGGAACUAAUAUAUUUGCUUACCAUCCAGUUGAAAGUAUGCCAAUGAAAUAAAGUGCAACUGUCACAGAAGUGCACAAAAUAAGGUCAUGUUUUCUGCAAAAGUUCACCAAGCUGAUUCAAACUACAAAUGGGAGUCAAGAAAAAAGUAAAACUAACUGAACUGUCACAGUUCAACUGUGAGAAAUGUUUGGUAAAAGUAUGUUUUGUUGUCAGAACAGCAGUGAAGUGGUUAGAGUAAAACUGUCUUCAUUGUUUAAGCAAUACAGAAUAUUUUUU
rnacentral:lncRNA from 1 species